GCAAUCGACGNAUACAGUGGCGAACGGGUGAGUAAUGUAUUGCUAAUCUGCCCCAUACUCGAGAAUAGCAGGUGGAAACACCUGGUAAUACUCGAUGUGUCUGGAGUUCCGCAUGGAACUCCAUACAAAGCUCCGGCGGUAUGGGAUGAGGCAAUAUGGUAUCAGCUUGUUGGUGAGGUAACGGCUCACCAAGGCUUCGACGCCUAACCGGACUGAGAGGUCGGCCGGUCACAUCGGGACUGAGACACUGCCCGGACUCC
rnacentral:rRNA from 1 species